CAGAGGCACUGGCAUAAAUCCAGGCUAGCCAAACCCAUUCGUUUAGCUUGUUUACACACUCCGUACGCUUAAUACCAGUAGCAUAACAGGGAAACAACGCAACACCAACGCGAAACAGAUCGUCUGUCACGAACUACUACAACAUAACACAAACAACACAGCACCAACGCGAAACAGAUUGUCUGUCACGAACUACUACAACAUAACACAUCCCGGCGAUUUCUGGUGGCACUUGACAGAGGUCUAGAAUGAGCUUGGCGACAGCUCCGGCACGAGCAGGAGAAGGUAGCCCGCGAGCACCGCCGUGAGUGCAACGCCGGCGGUCGCCGCCGUGGAGACGCCGCCGCC
rnacentral:lncRNA from 1 species